GAAAUGCGAUAAGUAAUGUGAAUUGCAGAAUUCAGUGAAUCAUCGAAUCUUUGAACGCACAUUGCGCCCCUUGGUAUUCCGAGGGGCAUGCCUGUUCGAGCGUCAUUACACCAAUCACGCCUGGCGUGGUAUUGGGCGACGGGGCCGUCACACGCCCCGCGCCCCAAUGACUCCCCGGCGGGACGGACCGUAUCUCAGCGUUGUGCAAACUGCCGCUGGCGAGACGGGCUCGGCCGUGCCGUGAAAACCUCAAUUUUAUUCAGGUUGACCUCGGAUCAGGUAGGAAUACCCGCUGAACUUAA
rnacentral:misc_RNA from 1 species